rnacentral:sRNA from 1 species
GGUAACUUCAAUAGAAGUGUUCGGGAUUUGAUGAUCCUACAUUUCUAUUGGAGUUACCCUUUUUUAUGAAUUCUUUCAUCAACUUUGUAUUAUUACGUCUCACGUCAUUACGUGAAUGUUUUAGGAGGAUUUUACAAUGCAAAAUGGUACAGUAAAAUGGUUUAACGCAGAAAAAGGUUAUGGUUUCAUCCAAGUAGAAGGUGGAAACGAUGUAUUCGUACACUUCUCUGCGAUCCAAGAAGAAGGUUUCAAAACACUUGAAGAAGGUCAAAGCGUUUCUUUCGAAAUCGUAGAAGGCGACCGUGGCCCUCAAGCUGCUAACGUUGUUAAAAACUAAUUAAAUUAUAAAAAACGCACGACAUAUAGCGACAGCUCUUUAGAGCUGUCGCUUUU